AGGGUGAUCGGCCACACUGGAACUGAGACACGGUCCAGACUCCUACGGGAGGCAGCAGUAGGGAAUCUUCCGCAAUGGGCGAAAGCCUGACGGAGCAACGCCGCGUGAGUGAUGAAGGUCUUCGGAUCGUAAAACUCUGUUAUUAGGGAAGAACAUAUGUGUAAGUAACUGUGCACAUCUUGACGGUACCUAAUCAGAAAGCCACGGCUAACUACGUGCCAGCAGCCGCGGUAAUACGUAGGUGGCAAGCGUUAUCCGGAAUUAUUGGGCGUAAAGCGCGCGUAGGCGGUUUUUUAAGUCUGAUGUGAAAGCCCACGGCUCAACCGUGGAGGGUCAUUGGAAACUGGAAAACUUGAGUGCAGAAGAGGAAAGUGGAAUUCCAUGUGUAGCGGUGAAAUGCGCAGAGAU
rnacentral:rRNA from 1 species